GACGAACGCUGGCGGCGUGCUUAACACAUGCAAGUCGAGCGGAAAGGCCCUUCGGGGUCCUCGAGCGGCGAACGGGUGAGUAACACGUGAGUAACCUGCCCUAGGCUUUGGGAUAACCCCGGGAAACCGGGGCUAAUACCGGAUAUGACCUGGUGCCGCAUGGUGUUGGGUGGAAAGUUUUUUCGGCCUGGGAUGGGCUCGCGGCCUAUCAGCUUGUUGGUGGGGUGAUGGCCUACCAACGCGAUGACGGGUAGCCGGCCUGAGAGGGCGACCGGCCACACUGGGACUGAGACACGGCCCAGACUCCUACGGGAGGCAGCAGUGGGGAAUAUUGUACAAUGGGCGGAAGCCUGAUGCAGCGACGCCGUGUGAGGGAUGAAGGCCUUCGGGUUGUAAACCUCUUUCAGCAGGGACGAAGCGUGAGUGACGGUACCUGCAGAAGAAGCGCCGGCCAACUACGUG
rnacentral:rRNA from 1 species